rnacentral:rRNA from 1 species
GCGAAACUGGCGAAUGGGCUCAUUAUAUAAGUUAUCGUUUAUUUGAUAGCACCUUACUACUUGGAUAACCGUGGUAAUUCUAGAGCUAAUACAUGCUAAAAAUCCCGACUUCGGAAGGGAUGUAUUUAUUAGAUUAAAAACCAAUGCCCUCUGGGCUCUCUGGUGAUUCAUGAUAACUUCUCGAAUCGCAUGGCCUUGCGCCGGCGAUGGUUCAUUCAAAUUUCUUCCCUAUCAACUUUCGAUGUUUGGGUAGUGGCCAAACAUGGUUGCAACGGGUAACGGAGGGUUAGGGCUCGACCCCGGAGAAGGAGCCUGAGAAACGGCUACUACAUCCAAGGAAGGCAGCAGGCGCGCAAAUUACCCAAUCCCGACACGGGGAGGUAGUGACAAUAAAUACUGAUACAGGGCUCUUUUGGGUCUUGUAAUUGGAAUGAGUACAAUUUAAAUCCCUUAACGAGGAACAAUUGGAGGGCAAGUCUGGUGCCAGCAGCCGCGGUAAUUCCAGCUCCAAUAGCGUAUAUUAAAGUUGUUGUGGUUAAAAAGCUCGUAGUUGAACCUUGGGCCUGGCUGGCCGGUCCGCCUCACCGCGUGCACUGGUCCGGCCGGGCCUUUCCCUCUGUGGAACCCCAUGCCCUUCACUGGGUGUGGCGGGGAAACAGGACUUUUACUUUGAAAAAAUUAGAGUGCUCCAGGCAGGCCUAUGCUCGAAUACAUUAGCAUGGAAUAAUGAAAUAGGACGUGCGGUUCUAUUUUGUUGGUUUCUAGGACCGCCGUAAUGAUUAAUAGGGACAGUCGGGGGCAUCAGUAUUCAAUUGUCAGAGGUGAAAUUCUUGGAUUUAUUGAAGACUAACUACUGCGAAAGCAUUUGCCAAGGAUGUUUUCAUUAAUCAGGAACGAAAGUUAGGGGAUCGAAGACGAUCAGAUACCGUCGUAGUCUUAACCAUAAACUAUGCCGACUAGGGAUCGGACGAUGUUAUUUUUUGACUCGUUCGGCACCUUACGAGAAAUCAAAGUGCUUGGGCUCCGGGGGAAUAUGGUCCCAAG